UACGUAGGGGGCAAGCGUUAUCCGGAAUUACUGGGCGUAAAGGGAGCGUAGACGGUAAUGCAAGUCUGGAGUGAAAGGCGGGGGCCCAACCCCCGGACUGCUCUGGAAACUAUGUUACUAGAGUGCAGGAGAGGUAAGCGGAAUUCCUAGUGUAGCGGUGAAAUGCGUAGAUAUUAGGAGGAACACCAGUGGCGAAGGCGGCUUACUGGACUGUAACUGACGUUGAGGCUCGAAAGCGUGGGGAGCAAACAGG
rnacentral:rRNA from 1 species